rnacentral:rRNA from 1 species
UACGUAGGUGGCAAGCGUUGUCCGGAUUUAUUGGGUUUAAAGGGUGCGUAGGCGGCUUUGUAAGUCAGUGGUGAAAUAUGGCGGCUCAACUGUCAGGGUGCCAUUGAUACUGCGGAGCUUGAGUACAGAUGAGGUAGGCGGAAUUGACGGUGUAGCGGUGAAAUGCUUAGAUAUCGUCAAGAACACCGAUAGCGAAGGCAGCUUACUGGGCUGUAACUGACGCUGAGGCACGAAAGUGUGGGGAUCAAACAGG